rnacentral:rRNA from 1 species
AGUGAACGCUGGCGGUAGGCCUAUCACAUGCAAGUCGAACGGCAGCACAGUAAGAGCUUGCUCUUACGGGUGGCGAGUGGCGGACGGGUGAGGAAUACAUCGGAAUCUACUUUUUCGUGGGGGAUAACGUAGGGAAACUUACGCUAAUACCGCAUACGACCUACGGGUGAAAGCAGGGGAUCUUCGGACCUUGCGCGAUUGAAUGAGCCGAUGUCGGAUUAGCUAGUUGGCGGGGUAAAGGCCCACCAAGGCGACGAUCCGUAGCUGGUCUGAGAGGAUGAUCAGCCACACUGGAACUGAGACACGGUCCAGACUCCUACGGGAGGCAGCAGUGGGGAAUAUUGGACAAUGGGCGCAAGCCUGAUCCAGCCAUACCGCGUGGGUGAAGAAGGCCUUCGGGUUGUAAAGCUCUUUUGUUGGGAAAGAAAAGCAGCAGGUUAAUACCCCGCUGUUCUGACGGUACCCAAAGAAUAAGCACCGGCUAACUUCGUG